CGAUGGAGGACCGAACCGACCCCCGUUGAAACGUUGGCGGAUGAGUUGUGGCUAGGGGUGAAAUUCCAAUCGAACCCGGAGAUAGCUGGUUCUCCCCGAAAUAGCUUUAGGGCUAGCCUGAGGUAGUAAGUAUAGGCGGUAGAGCACUGAUCGGGCUAGGGGCCGUAAAGGUUACCGAACCCUGUCAAACUCCGAAUGGAUAUACUGUAGAGCCUUGGAGUCAGACUACGAGUGAUAAGAUCCGUGGUCAAAAGGGAAACAGCCCAGACCACCAGCUAAGGUCCCCAAUGUCGUACUAAGUGGAAAAGGAUGUGGGGUUUCAUAAACAACCAGGAUGUUGGCUCAGAAGCAGCCACCAUUUAAAGAGUGCGUAAUAGCUCACUGGUCGAGAGACCCUGCGCCGAAGAUUCCCGGGGCUAAAGUACGAAACCGAAGCUGUGGCUGUAUACGUAAAGUAUACGGGGUAGGGGAGCGUUCCCAUAGGGUAGAAGUCGAACUGGAAGGUUCGGUGGACUUGUGGGAAGUGAGAAUGUUGGUAUGAGUAGCGAAAAGAAAGGUGAGAAUCCUUUCCACCGAAAGCAUAAGGAUUCCUGAGCAACGAUCGUCGUCUCAGGGUAAGUCGGGACCUAAUCCGAGGCAGAGAGCGUAGGAGAUGGACAACUGGUUGAUAUUCCAGUACCGGUAGUAAUUGUUUGAGCAAUGGAGUGACACAGAAGGGCAGGCAAGCAUGCGAAUGGAAGAGCAUGUGUAAGCGUGUAGGGUGGUGCAUAGGCAAAUCCGUGCACUGAAAGCCUGAGGCGUGAUGCGGAGUGAGCAGAGAUGCGAGCGAAGUUGUUGACCCCACACUGUCGAGAAAAGCUUCUAGUGAGAGAGCUACCGCCCGUACCGUAAACCGACACAGGUAUGCGGGGAGAGAAUCCUAAGGUGCGCGGGAGAACCCUCGUUAAGGAACUCGGCAAAAUGUACCCGUAACUUCGGGAUAAGGGUAGCCACUGUUGUGAAGUCCCAUGCGGAUGGAGCAUAGAGUGGUCGCAGAGAAGAGGCCCAAGCGACUGUUUACCAUAAACACAGGUGCCUGCUAAAGCGAAAGCUGACGUAUAGGUGCUGACACCUGCCCAGUGCCGGAAGGUUAAGGAAGGAUGUUCGGAGUAAUCCAAAGCAUUCGACUGAAGCCCCGGUGAACGGCGGCCGUAACUAUAACGGUCCUAAGGUAGCGAAAUUCCUUGUCGGGUAAGUUCCGACCCGCACGAAAGGUGUAACGAUUUGGGCACUGUCUCAACGAGGGACCCGGUGAAAUUGAAAUACCUGUGAAGAUGCAGGUUACCCGCGACUGGACAGAAAGACCCCAUGGAGCUUUACUGUAACCUGACAUUGGGUUUUGAUACAUUACGUACAGGAUAGGUGGGAGGCUUGGAAAGCUGGACGCUAGUCUGGCUGGAGCCGACGUUGGGAUACCACCCUUGAUGUAUUGAAAUUCUAACCGCGAGAGUAACGAAAUCCGGGACAGUGUCAGGCGGGCAGUUUGACUGGGGCGGUCGCCUCCGAAAGAGUAACGGAGGCGCCCAAAGGUUCCCUCAGCGCGGCCGGAAAUCGCGCGAAGAGUGUAAAGGCAGAAGGGAGCUUGACUGCGAGUCAAACACGACGAGCAGGUACGAAAGUAGGGCUUAGUGAUCCGGUGGUACCGAGUGGAAGGGCCAUCGCUCAACGGAUAAAAGCUACCCUGGGGAUAACAGGCUAAUCUCUCCCAAGAGUCCAUAUCGACGGGGAGGUUUGGCACCUCGAUGUCGGCUCAUCACAUCCUGGGGCUGAAGUCGGUCCCAAGGGUUGGGCUGUUCGCCCAUUAAAGUGGCACGCGAGCUGGGUUCAGA
rnacentral:rRNA from 1 species